rnacentral:misc_RNA from 1 species
AACAAGGCGUACCUGCGGACCUGCGGAAGGAUCAUUACAAGUGACCCCGGUCUAACCACCGGGAUGUUCAUAACCCUUUGUUGUCCGACUCUGUUGCCUCCGGGGCGACCCUGCCUUCGGGCGGGGGCUCCGGGUGGACACUUCAAACUCUUGCGUAACUUUGCAGUCUGAGUAAACUUAAUAAAUUAAAACUUUCAACAACGGAUCU